rnacentral:misc_RNA from 1 species
AGCAGCCGCGGUAAUUCCAGCUCCAAUAGCGUAUAUUAAAGUUGUUGCAGUUAAAAGCUCGUAGUUGAAUUUCGGGAUUGGCGCAUCGGUCGUGCCUCACGGGGUAUGAACUGGUGCAGUCAAUUUCUCACCUUCUGGAGAACCGCGAUGUCCUUAAUUGGAUGCCGCGGGGAACCAGGACCUUUACUUUGAAAAAUUAGAGUGUUUAAAGCAGGCAUUUUUGCUUGAAUACAUUAGCAUGGAAUAAUAAAAUAGGACGGCAUGGUUCUAUUUUGUUGGUUUCUAGGACCACCGUAAUGAUUAAUAGGGAUAGUUGGGGGCAUUAGUAUUCAAUUGUCAGAGGUGAAAUUCUUGGAUUUAUUGAAGACUAACUACUGCGAAAGCAUUUGCCAAGGAUGUUUUCAUUAAUCAAGAACGAAAGUUAGGGAUCGAAGACGAUCAGAUACCGUCGUAGUCUUAACCAUAAACUAUGCCGACCUAGGAAUCAGACGAUGUUAAUUUUUUAAUGUACUUCGUUUUG